UACGUAGGGGGCAAGCGUUGUCCGGAUUUAUUGGGCGUAAAGAGCGUGUAGGCGGCCAGACAAGUCUGCUGUGAAAACUCGAGGCUCAACCUCGAGCUGUCGGUGGAAACUGUCUGGCUAGAGUCCGGAAGAGGAGAGUGGAAUUCCUGGUGUAGCGGUGAAAUGCGUAGAUAUCUGGAGGAACACCGAUGGCGAAGGCAGCAUCCUGGGCCGGUAUUGACGCUGAGGCGCGAAAGCCAGGGGAGCAAACGGG
rnacentral:rRNA from 1 species